rnacentral:rRNA from 1 species
UACGAAGGGGGCUAGCGUUGCUCGGAAUCACUGGGCGUAAAGCGCACGUAGCGGAUUGUUAAGUCAGGGGUGAAAUCCUGGAGCUCAACUCCAGAACUGCCCUUGAUACUGAUGGUCUCGAGUCCGGGAGAGGUGAGUGGAACUGCGAGUGUAGAGGUGAAAUUCGUAGAUAUUCGCAAGAACACCAGUGGCGAAGGCGGCUCACUGGCCCGAUACUGACGCUGAGGCACGAAAGCGUGGGGAGCAAACAGG